ACCAAUAAAUCCAAUAAAAGAUAAGGCUAUCUUUAUCACAUAAAAAUAUCCUCACCAUCACUUCUCUCACUACUAGCCCAAAGCCACUUCAGUGGUUAUUGAAUAGAGAGAAAACAAUGGCUUUUUUGAGCUAUCCUCUUCAACCCACAUCAUGCAAUAAGAUCUCAAAAAGAAGCAGUGUGUCCCCCAUUUUCACUUGCUCCAUGCAACCCUCUCAAAACAACAUUAAGGUUGUGAUCAAUGGCGCGACGAAAGAGAUCGGGAGAGCCGCAAUUUUAGCUGUGACGAAAGCGAGGGGAAUGGAGGUGGCUGCUGCUGUGGACAAUCAGCUAGUAGGGCAAGAUGCUGGAAAGAUAAGUGGUAUGGAAGAGCCUUUGGAGAUCCCAGUGCUCAAUGAUCUCACAAUGGUUCUGGGAUCUAUUGCACAGUCGAGAGCAACGGGCGUUGUCGUAGAUUUCACCGAGCCUUCGACUGUGUAUGAUAAUGUCAAACAGGCAGCAGCAUUUGGAUUGAGCAGCAUCGUUUACGUUCCAAAAAUUCAGUUAGAAACAGUUACCGAGCUAUCGUUGUUUUGUGAGAAGGCAAGCAUGGGUUGUCUAAUUGCGCCGACGUUGUCUAUUGGCUCUGUGCUGCUCCAACAAGCUGCAAUUCAAGCUUCAUUCCACUACAACAACGUCGAGAUUGUGGAAUCAAGGCCUGAUCCAGCAGACCUGCCAUCGCCGGAGGCCAUACAGAUUGCAAACAAUCUUUCUGAUCUUGGUCAGAUGUACAAUAGAGAAGAUAUAACAACAGACAAUCCAGUAACAGCACUAAUUAUACUCAAUAGAAAUAAAAUGUGUUUGAGAAGGCAAGGGGUCAGAUCCUUUGCGAGGAUGGAGUACGAGUACACAGCAUGGUCCUUCCAGGUCUUCCUUCUAGUACAGCAGUGAACUUCUCGGGACCAGGAGAGGUAUACACCCUAAAACAUGAUGUAACAAAUGUCAAAUGCCUCAUGCCAGGUUUGAUUUUAGCCAUCAGAAAGGUGGUACGCCUGAAGAAUUUGAUUUAUGGACUAGAGAAGUUCUUGUAGCUAUUAUGCAAUGCAAUGAAAAGCAUUGGGAUUUCUCACCUGAUCGUUCCCAACCUGGAGAGAGUACAAGGGAGCAAUUUUGUGGCAUCAGCAUUGGCUACUUUCAAACCUUGUCUCAGCUCCCAUUCAAGGACGCUGCAUAAACACCUAUGAGAUACACGGAAGUAAUAUAUUUCGGUGAAGAAGUUGUAAUGCUCUAUUGCAGAAAAUCGCAGAUAUUUGUGCUGCAGAGCUAUGUAAAUGUUCUCUGGAGAACAAAUUUUUUCAAGGAAAUGAGGGAAACAUUCUCCAUGCAGAAGAUGGAAAACAUUCAUGAAAGUUGGUGUCCUGUGAUUAAACAAUUGAAAUGACAAAAUUGGUUCUCAUGCAAUUCAUUUAGCAGCA